ACCAACAGGAGAAUCAUUUCUAUAGUAUUUGUCCUCUUUUGUGUUCCCUAAAGGAGCCACAGAUCCCACCCGGGUUGAUGAACUAUAUCCUCGUUUCCCAACAGUGAGGUCCCUUUUAUUUUACUCUCGCUCUGCCUGAAAAGGUGGCGAUCUUGCUUCACUGCAUGAUUGUAUAGAGAGUGGCGAUGAUCUGUACCCCGAUUUCCCAAGGUCUGCCUUCGGGCGCUUGGGCGGGGUGGGUUUCGAUGGAAGUCUGACCGGC
rfam:Neurospora crassa OR74A linkage group I, whole genome shotgun sequence.